rnacentral:lncRNA from 1 species
UCCUGCCCUCACAUUACAGGCGUUGCGGCAAAUCUGAUAGCCAAGUUCCCGAGAUGGAGCCCCGCAGCUAUUAAAUCUGCAAUCAUGACAACGGGUAUACAUAUACUAACACAACUUGAGAAACACAGCACUCACUUUGGAUACUUGCAGCUUCGACUUUGGAUAACACAGGCGCGGCAAUCAACAAUCAAUUCUUCCAGACAGUUUCCGGGCCUUUCGACUUUGGAGCAGGACAUGUGAGGCCAAACCUGUCAUUGAGGCCCGGCCUUGUCUACGACACCGGCUUCCACGACUAUGUCAGCUUCCUGUGCAGUAUCGGCUCGUUAAAGCAACUUCACAACAUAACACACGAUGACACACCUUGCCCGAGUGCUCCGAUCGCUCCACACAACCUCAAUUAUCCUUCCAUCGCGGUCACCCUGCAGCGGCAACGAAAGACGGUGGUGUGCCGAACCGUGACAAACGUAGGAACUCCACAGUCGCUUUACAAGGCCACUGUGAAAGCCCCGAGUGGAGUUGUCGUGAACGUAGUUCCCGAGUGCCUGAGUUUCGAGGAGCUGCACGAGAAGAAAUCUUUCACGGUUGAGUUCAGCGCGCAGGCAUCAAGCAACGGAAGCUUUGCGUUUGGAUCACUUAC